CAGAGAAGUGGCUGGUAGCACAGUCCACCUGGAGCUUAAAGUGGGGUAGUAGAAACUAUAUACUUCCGAAAAUGCUUACAAAUUCUUGUCCAGCUGGGUAUGUGGGUACACACCUUUAAUCCCAGCACUCCGGUGGUAGAAGUAGGCAGAUCUCUAUAAAUGUGAGGUCAGCCUGGUCUACAUGGCAGGUUCCAGGCGAGCCAGAACUACAUAGUGAGACCCAGUCUCUAAAAACAGCAACAAAACAAUAGUAUCUUUGGCCACUAGUUUCUCAUAGCAGAACUGUCUUUCUGUCUGUCUAUCAUCUAUCAAUCUAUCAUAUCUAUAUCUAAUCUUUCUAUCUACCUCAUAUGUGUGCACAUUGGACAACACGAGGUGCCACCUUAGGGUCUACCAAAGAGUCUCUUAAUGGCCUGGGACUUGCAGAUCAGGCUCUACUGGCUGGCCAGUAAGCCCCAGAUAUCCCACUUGUCUCCAACUCCCCAGAUCUGAGGUUACAGAUAUGCUACCACACUUGGCUUACCUUUUAACAUGGGUUCUGGGGCUCACAUAUGGGUCCUCACACUUUGUGCAGCAGGUGCUUUGCAGCUUUGUGCUGCCUCCACAGCUAUGUGCAGAUAUCCCUUACUAGAAACAAGGAAACAGCCUCCUUUUGCUUGCUAACAAAACUAAGCAAAACUAAGACUCCUCUUGAAGCCAAUAGACAGCUCUAGCGAUCUGCUUCAGGAGCAAUACAGUGCAGCCGGGACAACAUAGAACCUGGCUAGGUGGCUAUGGGGAGGAACAGGAGACCAACAGUUGGGAUGGACCUGGGGAGGGUGGGGAAGGUGGACUGUGAGGCUAGAUAUGGAAGACAUUGUUACAGUGUGUCUGUUGGGGUAACCCACAUGCAUUGUAUCACCUGGCUAGGAAAGUGUGUCCUGUGUUCUCAGUUGUUGAUUGCUGCGCACCCCACCCCCUCCAGCUCAGGAUAUGUAUAUAUGUGAUGCUUCCUCACUUUCCCAAAAAGGACAGCAGCCUGCCACGGGGGAGGAGUCUCUCCCACUAUAGUAAUAGCUUUUUUUGUAGGAGAAAGAAAUGUGGCAUUUGAGCAAUAAAGUGUUGGCAGCUGAAGCUGGGGCAGAAGAGAGGAAAAGGAGACCUAGACAGAGGGAUGGGAGCUGAGCAAGAAGGUAGAGCAGAGAGCCACGUGGAGAGACACAGUGGUGGGAAAGCUGGGUUAAGUUAGAGGCUAGCUGAGAGACGGCCCCAGCAAACGGGCCAAGAGCCUUAAACAAUACAGGUGCCUCUGUGACUCUAUUGUUAAAUCACCAGCAGGAGCCCCCAGAAGUCCCGCAAUAGAGACCCUUACUCAUGCUUCGGGAUUCAUUGUUCUGGCAAGGAUAUUGACAGUUAAGCUGGAAGACGUCCCACACAGGGAAGGAUGGGCACACCUGCUGCUCCCCAUCAUAACUGAAGCAGGUAGGCCUGCUUGCUUCGAUACCCCUGCCUGCUUCGAUACCCGGGCUUCCUUUGCCUGGGUCAGGUGUCCAAAAUCAAAUCUCUGCCUUAGUGUUUGCCAGAUGUAGAACUCUCAGCUCCUUCUCCAGCACCACGUCUGCCAGCAUGUUUCCCACCAUGACAGUAAUAAACUAAAUCUCUGAAACUGAAAGCCAGACCCUACUAAAUGUUUCCCUUUUUAUAAGAGUUUCUGUGGUCAUGGUGUCUCUUCACAGCCAUUGAACACUGACUAAGACAGCAGCUUACCUGGGUAACCAAGAGAGCAGCAAUUCUGAGUGAGAAACCAACCUAGAAACAAAGGCUCUCCCUGAUGGCUUCUCCAUCUUUCCUAGGGACUUUCCCCAGCCCCACCAGAAGAGAUGGGGUUGUGUUUGUCCCACCAGGCCAGACCCCUGGAUCUGGGGACUCUUCUGUGAACUCAGGAGAUGGGAAAGGAAGAAAUGGGCAGUGAUUUGGGCCCAUUGUCUCCCGGACUCACUACUAACCUAUUGCUGACUAUCAAGCCCAGAGCCCUGAGAAGCGGGGGAGAAGAUCAGAAACCGACCUGCGAGCUAGCUACAAGUCAGCUUUCUCUUCGAUCUUGCCAAUACAUUUACGUUUCUGGAAUAUGGAUUGCAUCACUCAUCAUUAUUUUUAUAGUCACUGAUCACCUUUUUCCCUUUCUUCCUUUCUGCUUUCUUUUCUUAGACAGGAUCUCACUAUGUAUUCCUGGCUGGGCUGUAACUUACUAUGUAGAAUAGGUUGGCCACAAACUUCCAGAAAUAUAGAUUUCCUUCUGGUUGCUGGACCUAAAGGCAUUUGCCACCAUGAAUGGCCUCCUUCAUAUACUUUAAUUUUUCAAUCAACUGAGGAACCUGACUGUGGCCUGCCAAACCAGUUUACCUUCUGUAAAGAAAAUUAAAAUAACAUAGCCUCAGAUCUGAGUUGUGGCUUGCCCAUCGACCUCAGUCACGUGACCUUCGUAGAGGUGGUGAAUACAAAGGUUUUUCAUGGAACUUGGAGUCUGAGUCUACCUGAAGAUCUUUCCUGGUGCUGAGGGAUGAAGGAGACAUGAAACAAACCAAAAUGAAACGAAACAACAACAACAACAACAAAACCCACAUCCUGGGGACUCCUCCUUUCCUGCAUCCUGGGGACCCUUUCCCAUAGCUCCAAGCAGGGGCAGGAGGUUUUAGCUGACUAAGCACUCACAUUGCCUGCAUUCUUUGGAUAAAAGUAAAAUUUAGUAAACUUGGCACUGACCCAUGGCAAUUAUGACAUUCAUAGAAGGUCGUAUGUGGCUGCCCAGAAGGCAGAAGCUAAAGACAUAUUUGAAAAGGCGCCCUCUCCAGCAAUGAGUCCUUUUCUGUGAACAUACCCCUUGACAUGCGAGGUUCGUGGGACUCAGCAAACAAUACCCACGGUUGACACUUUGACAUGGUAAACUAAAGAAGUACCCCAUGAUCUCUGACUUCCCAUGCUUCUUGCUCACCUCUGUCUAGAAGUGAUGGGAGAAGCCAGCUCCAGAGCUCUUAUGUCUACCUGAAGACUGGUUUCCUAGUUCACACUCAACUGUGAGUCCUAUAACCACAGAGACUGCCAACCUAAGAGACCAGGGCAUACCAUAGGAGAGAAAACUAAAUCUGGCAGACCCAGGUGAACUCUGUCUGGUUUUUUGGGCUCAUUCAUUUCCCCUGAGGAAAGCCCUUGCUCCCCAUUAAACUUCUUUCUCUCUUGUGAAGAAUGUAUUUAAGCCUCAGCCAUCUGGCCAUUCUUGUGCAAUGUCCAUGAGUUUGUGCAUGGUACUGUAGAAGAAGUCGUGUCUGCAGAGACUGAGUGGACUGGUUAGAAUUUCAGUUCUGUGGAGAAUAUUGCAGGUUCGGAAGUCUAGUUCCCUAUCUUGGGCUAGCUCUGGUCCUCAGGAACAGCCAUUCCUUGUGCACCUCUGUAUAGGAACAUUAUGUGACUAGCAGGUAAAACCCUUUUGGCAUCUAUUAACUUAGCAGACUACUAGCUUCCACCAACCCCAACGCUAAGGAGGAUGUCUGUCACCAGAUAGCAUCUUGGGUCUAUGGAAAGCCUCUCCCAACUCACUGUAACUGUCCCUUGAUGUACCCACCGAUGUGUUUUAAACUUGUCUUGGUUUAGGGCUUUCUUUGUUCUGUAAAACUUUACAACAUUAUAAAACUGCUUCCACAUUAGAACAUGGAAUUUGGGGGUAAGUCUACUUCUAAAUCUGUAUUUCUAGGCCAUGGUCACUCAGAAUGGCUCCAGAAUAAACUAUCUUUUAUUCCCUUAAGAUGAGAGCCAUAGGGUUUCUUUUUUUUUUUUUUUUUUUUUUUU
rnacentral:lncRNA from 1 species